rnacentral:rRNA from 1 species
GAUGAACGCUGGCGGCGUGCCUAAUACAUGCAAGUCGAGCGAAUGGAUUAAGAGCUUGCUCUUAUGAAGUUAGCGGCGGACGGGUGAGUAGCACGUGGGUAACCUGCCCAUAAGACUGGGAUAACUCCGGGAAACCGGGGCUAAUACCGGAUAACAUUUUGAACCGCAUGGUUCGAAAUUGAAAGGCGGCUUCGGCUGUCACUUAUGGAUGGACCCGCGUCGCAUUAGCUAGUUGGUGAGGUAACGGCUCACCAAGGCAACGAUGCGUAGCCGACCUGAGAGGGGGAGCGGCCACACUGGGACUGAGACACGGCCCAGACUCCUACGGGAGGCAGCAGUAGGGAAUCUUCCGCAAUGGACGAAAGUCUGACGGAGCAACGCCGCGUGAGUGAUGAAGGCUUUCGGGUCGUAAAACUCUGUUGUUAGGGAAGAACAAGUGCUAGUUGAAUAAGCUGGCACCUUGACGGUACCUAACCAGAAAGCCACGGCUAACUACGUGCCAGCAGCCGCGGUAA